GGGGAUGUACUGGUUUCGACGGGGUUUUUGAAGCUGGAGAAGCGAGCCGCAUGAGAUGCGUUAAAUGUCAAAAUUAAAAAUAAACGCUGAAGAUAGAAAUUUAGCAGUAGCUGCCUAAUUGCAGCUUGUCUGGCUUAGAGCACCUGCACUUUAAGACUCAGGCAUCGACUAUGCAGGAAACGACUUAUGCAAAGCUUUGCGCAUAAGGGCGUAUUAUGAAGCUACUGAACCCGAAAACCCGUUUCCGGGUGUUCGGCAGAGGGAAUGAAAAAACGGAAACUACGCUCGUAGAAGGACAGUGGACAGGAUUUCGGACAGGGGUUCGAUUCCCCUCAUCUCCA
rnacentral:tmRNA from 1 species